rnacentral:tRNA from 1 species
UAGAAAAUAUAGUAUUUAAAGUAUAUAAAAUUGCAAGUUUUAAGGAAUAAUUAUUUUCU